rnacentral:rRNA from 1 species
CUGCUGCCUUCCGUAGGAGUCUGGUCUGUGUCUCAGUACCAGUGUGGGGGGCCUUCCUCUCAGAACCCCUACGCAUCGUCGGCACGGUGGGCCGUUACCCCGCCGUCUACCUAAUGCGACGCAUGUCCAUCCUAUGCCGGAUCUCUCCUUUAACCUCCCGGGAAUGCUCCCAAAAGGUGUUACGCGGUAUUAGGCCGGAUUUCUCCGGGUUAUCCCCCUGCAUAGGGCAGGUUACAUACGUGUUACUCACCCGUGCGCCGGUCGCCGGCA